AGAAGUGAAGUGACUUGCCCAAGGUCCCACAGGAGAGACGGCGUGGCUCCAAAGACCUGUUCCUCCAACCUCGUGUCUGAAAGCCGAAGCAGUCUGCUUGUCCCUCAGGAGCAGCUUCCCUGGAAGAAGGAAUGUAAUUUCCAAUUGCUACAACCCAGUGAUGUAGCUUGUAACAGGCCUUUAUCCUUGUGUCCCUUUGACUCUUCCAGAGAUGUUUUCAGUUGUUGGGGUGAGUAGUGAAACUUUAGUACCAGUCAUUGUAAAUGUAAUCCAAUGUAUUUCAGGUCAAAUAGUGGAACUGGGUGUGAGGGCAGAGCAGCAAGCAGGUCCAGGUGCUGUCAGGAGAAGUCGGAUUUGGGAGAGAAAGACUGCUUUGGCUAAUAAGGAAAUGUCCUUGGUAUUGAUGGCAUGAAGAGGCAUUCAUCAUUGGUAUGUAUGGAGCACUUAACCGUGUACAGGGCACUGUAUUUAGUUCUUGGGAGAGUACAACACAACAGCAGUGGUAGACACUUUCCUGGCCCUUAGUGUUUGGAGGGGGCUGGCAGGGAGAAGUCCUUGAGAUUUAUUAGAAAACAAAGCACAAGUGCAAGGAGUGAAGCAGAGGGGCAAGGGAGAAGUGUGCCAUCUUUAACCUUGCAACUGGAGAAGGGGAGUGUUUGCUCAAGAUGGUAAAAACAGGAUGUUAAUGGGAGGAGACUGGAACAGCAAGAGAGAAAGAUGAUUUGAGCAGUGGCGUUCUGAUUGGACAGAAGUAAGGGAUUGAUAAAAGACAAAACAAGGGGAGGCAGGGGAUGUGGUUUUGAAGAUUUUCAAUGUGAUGUGUUAUCAGAGAACCAGCUACCGUGCUAUGGGGCCCAGGCGGCUCCAGGGGGGUUUGAUUAGAAGUUCCCCUCUUCAACUGCUACCAGAGCCGUUGCCUUCCUGCUACCGAAGUGGAUUUCAUGGCCGUCCUCUGAUGCCCAGGCUCUUUCCACUAGGCCGUGCUGUUUUCUUCCUGUACUUGAUGUAAGAGGUUAAGUCAGUGAUCUCAUGAAGAAUUCUUGCCCGCAGUAGGAAUUGUUAGUUAUUGAAGACUGUGGAAUUCCUUUCCCCAAGUCCUCCUGCCUCAGAGAUCGGGUCUUUGGCUCUUCUGUGCCCAUUGGCUACCACAGGCCCUGGCCCUGCUUUCCUUCCCCUGGUUUUGCUGUUUGGUUCUGAAUUAGUAGUGCACUCCGGGUGAUGGGAAUAAUCAUAAUGGUAUUUAAAUGCUUACUUUGUUGCAAACACUGUUGCAAAAA